AAGGCAGCAGGCACGCAAAUUACCCACUCCCGGCACGGGGAGGUAGUGACAAAAAAUAACGAUACGGGACUCAUCCGAGGCCCCGUAAUCGGAAUGAGUACACUUUAAAUCCUUUAACAAGGAUCCAAUGGAGGGCAAGUCUGGUGCCAGCAGCCGCGGUAAUUCCAGCUCUAUUAGCGUAUAUUAAAGUUGUUGCGGUUAAAAAGCUCGUAGUUGGUUCUGUGUUCCACGCUGUCGGUUCACCGCCUGCCGGUGUAACUGGCAUGCCGUGGAAUGUCCUGUCGGUGGUGGCUUUGACCCACGGUGAGUGUAGGUUUACCAAAGCUUGCCGCUGCGUGUCAGGCUGCCGAAUCAAUCCUGCCGCGGUGCUCUUUACUGAGUGUCGAGGUAGGCCGACACGUUUACUUUGAACAAAUUAGAGUGCUUAAAGCAGGCUAACAAUGCCUGGAUACUGUUGCAUGGAAUAAUAGAAUAGGACCUUGGUUCUAUUUUGUUGGUUUUCGGAAUCCAAGGUAAUGAUCAAUAUGGACAGGCGGGGGCAUUCGUAUUGCGGCGUUAGAGGUGAAAUUCUUGGAUCGUCGCAAGACGCACUAGAGCGAAAGCAUUUGCCAAGUAUGUCUUACUUGAUCAAGAACGAAAGUUAGAGGUUCGAAGGCGAUCAGAUACCGCCCUAGUUCUAACCAUAAACGAUGCCAGCCAGCGAUCCGCCGAAGUUCCUCCGAUGACUCGG
rnacentral:rRNA from 1 species